UACAUGGGGUGCAAACGUUGCUGACUGAAUUGAUGGCGUAAAGCGCACGUAGGCGGUCCGUUAAGUCGGAUGUGAAAGCCCCCGGCUCAACCGGGGAAGUGCAUCCGAAACUGGCGGGCUAGAGUACGAAAGAGGGUCGCGGAAUUCCCGGUGUAGAGGUGAAAUUCGUAGAUAUCGGGAGGAACACCGGUGGCGAAGGCGGCGACCUGGGUCGAUACUGACGCUGAGGUGCGAAAGCGUGGGGAGCAAGCAGG
rnacentral:rRNA from 1 species